GGCAGCGCCCGGGGUGCGGGGGCAGGGGGCGGAGCAGAGGAGCAGGGGGCGGGGCGGUGACCUGAGGGGCCGGCUGUGCCUCGAAUGGGGGAGACGCCGGCGAGGGGACACCAGGGUCGUUGCGCCCCAGCACCUCCCCUCUGGCCGGAAGCUUCAGGGAGGCUCAAGCUAGGUGGAACUGGGGGAGGCGGGCAGCUACGGGCCGGCCCUUCGGGCCUGGAAGGGGCGGGCGGAGUGGAGCUUCCUGGAGGAGCAGAGGAAGUCGUGCCCAUUUCUGGAAGUGGAUGAGGCAUCCCCGGGAGGGGAGUGAAAAUGGCCCGAAGGGAGCUGCUGCCCAGGCCGAAGAUCUUUGAGGGCCUGACUCCAACCCCUAGCCCUCCGAAUUUACCCCAGUCCUCUGGGAUCUGAAGCCCGCACCUUCCAAGGCUCACUUUCCAGCCCUGUCCGAUUCAUCCAUCCGACGAACAUUUACUGAGCACCUAAGCUUUGUGUGAACUCCCGUGGGUCCUUCAGAUGCCAGCUCACACGUCCCCUCCUCCAGGAAGCCUUCUGCGAGCUCCGUUCCUCGGCUGGAGCAGGCACCUUUCCUAGGCUCCCCCGUCAAGGCCCUGACUGACCUCUCUGCCUAUGAGUCCCCAUCACGACCCUGGCCAUUCUGGGUCUGUCUCCCUGUUGUACCGUGAACUCUGUGAAAGCAGGUGCUGGCUAUCUUGGUCAUACUGUGUCCCUGGCACUAUUCAGCAUGGGGCUGGGCACAAGACCGAGUAUCCACUGACCGCUGAUACUGAAUAAAGGACUUUCUUCCCCCUG